AGCGAACGCUGGCGGCAGGCCUAACACAUGCAAGUCGAACGGAUCCUUCGGGAUUAGUGGCGGACGGGUGAGUAACACGUGGGAACGUGCCCUUUGGUUCGGAACAACUCAGGGAAACUUGAGCUAAUACCGGAUGUGCCCUUCGGGGGAAAGAUUUAUCGCCAUUGGAGCGGCCCGCGUCUGAUUAGCUAGUUGGUGAGGUAAAGGCUCACCAAGGCGACGAUCAGUAGCUGGUCUGAGAGGAUGAUCAGCCACAUUGGGACUGAGACACGGCCCAAACUCCUACGGGAGGCAGCAGUGGGGAAUCUUGCGCAAUGGACGAAAGCCUGACGCAGCCAUGCCGCGUGAAUGAUGAAGGUCUUAGGAUUGUAAAAUUCUUUCACUGGGGACGAUAAUGACGGUACCCGGAGAAGAAGCCCCGGCUAACUUCGUGCCAGCAGCCGCAGUAAAAC
rnacentral:rRNA from 1 species